CUGCUCUUUGGGUGUUGGUGUUUGGACACCCAGGGAGAAUUGGGAUAAAUUGGGAAUGUUUGGUCACUUCACUUUGCGUGUGGCAAGGUGUUGCUGGGCGCCACUGGGACUCCUGUACGUGUUAAAGAAGACUGGACUGGGACUUUGCUUCAGAUCUGCUGUUGCCUCCGUUGCCUUGGCUCUUUGUGCCAUUUCGUGGACCUUGAAUUGAUGACUACAACCUCUGGACCUUGGACUGGAAUUCGACCCUGUUUCUGCCUUCGCUCUCUGAUUGGUCUACCCACGGCUCUUGACUUCUGGCUUGCCUCCUGACCCUGCUGCUGUCUCCUGUCCUGACCCUGGAUCAACCUGACGACAUCUCUUCACUUUGUCCCUUGAGCUCCUGGCAUUACCUGCACUCUCAAAGCAGUUUGCUGCUGUUCCUGCUAUUUUGACUCCGGACCGGUUUGACGACAUCUUCUUGCACUGUCCCUUUAAAUCCCCAAAGCCUGUUGCUUACCGCAGUAAGGGCUUGGAGCCGUACCUUCCCUUUUGCACCGGCUCCAAGUUUGUUUACAAGCUCCUUUGCCCAGUUUUGGUUUCUGUUUAGAGCUUUGUGUUAAAACUGCUAGCUUGUGACUCUUGGGAGUUUUUUGGGAGUUUCCAAGUCUUUGUUUUGUUUUGGCUGCUUUUCCAAGCCAACUUAGUUUGUUUAGAGCUGAAUUGAAGCACCUUUUGUUUAAUCUGGGUUAUUUGCUUGGAUAAUCCGGUUUGUUUGCUAAAGCAUACUUUUUGAUAUAUUUUUUUGUUUGGACUGCUUUAAAACACUGAAAGUUAAGUGUUUAAAGCCAUCUUUUGUGUUUGUGUCUAUUUUUUGGGCUAUCUCUUGAAUAAACUCUGUUUUGCUCUCAAA